AUUGAACGCUGGCGGCAUGCCUUACACAUGCAAGUCGAACGGCAGCACGGGAGCAAUCCUGGUGGCGAGUGGCGAACGGGUGAGUAAUGUAUCGGAACGUGCCCAGUCGUGGGGGAUAACGUAGCGAAAGCUACGCUAAUACCGCAUACGAUCUAUGGAUGAAAGCGGGGGAUCGCAAGGCCUCGCGCGAUUGGAGCGGCCGAUAUCAGAUUAGGUAGUUGGUGGGGUAAAGGCUCACCAAGCCGACGAUCUGUAGCUGGUCUGAGAGGACGACCAGCCACACUGGGACGGAGACACGGCCCAGACUCCUACGGGAGGCAGCAGUGGGGAAUUUUGGACAAUGGGCGAAAGCCUGAUUCAGCAAUGCCGCGUGCAGGAUGAAGGCCUUCGGGUUGUAAACUGCUUUUGUACGGAACGAAACGGCGAACUCUAAUACAGUUUGCUAAUGACGGUACCGUAAGAAUAAGCACCGGCUAACUACGUGCCAGCAGCCGCCGUAA
rnacentral:rRNA from 1 species